GUUUGAGCCACAUAAUUGUCCGGCCUCUAUAGGUAUCCACACGAGGAUCUAAUCAUCUGAGAUAGGGUCUUACCGGAGUGCUAGCUCCUUGCAAAGACCUCUCAUGACUAUCAUAUAGAUUAGAAGAUAAAAAUCUGCAACAUACCUCCUUAAAGAAGAACCCUUUCUUCUUCAACCUUGCACGCGAUGGAGGAAGAGGAAG
rnacentral:lncRNA from 1 species